UUCUAUUCUAUUUUUUGUAUUCUUGUCUUUCAUUUUUGCUUAUAUUCUUUGUCUAUUUGCCUUUUGUGUGUUCUUUGUGACUUUGUACUUAUAAAUCCCGUCAUUGUGUUAUUGUUUUAUGAUGAUUUUUGUAUUCUUAUCUUUUAUUUUUGCUAAUAUGCUUUGUCUAUAUUCAUUUUUGUGUUUCUUUGUUAAUAUAACGUGGCUUUGUACUAAUGUAUCUCGUCAUUGUGUUAUGGGGCAUGGUAAAUGUAUG
rnacentral:lncRNA from 1 species